AUUGAACGCUGGCGGCAUGCUUUACACAUGCAAGUCGAACGGUAACAGGUUAAGCUGACGAGUGGCGAACGGGUGAGUAAUGCAUCGGAACGUGCCCGAUCGUGGGGGAUAACGCAGCGAAAGCUGCGCUAAUACCGCAUACGAUCUGAGGAUGAAAGCGGGGGACCGUAAGGCCUCGCGCGAUCGGAGCGGCCGAUGUCAGAUUAGGUGGUUGGUGGGGUAAAGGCCCACCAAGCCGACGAUCUGUAGCUGGUCUGAGAGGACGACCAGCCACACUGGGACUGAGACACGGCCCAGACUCCUACGGGAGGCAGCAGUGGGGAAUUUUGGACAAUGGGCGAAAGCCUGAUCCAGCAAUGCCGCGUGCAGGAAGAAGGCCUUCGGGUUGUAAACUGCUUUUGUACGGAGCGAAAAGGUCCUUUCUAAUACAAGGGGCUCAUGACGGUACCGUAAGAAUAAGCACCGACUAACUACGUGCCAGCAGCCGCCGUAAUAC
rnacentral:rRNA from 1 species